AGUAGUUGAUCAGUGGCUCAGGACGAACGCUGGCGGCGUGCCUAACACAUGCAAGUCGAGCGGGGUCCAUCCGGUAGCAAUACCGGGGAAGACCUAGCGGCGAACGGGUGAGUAACACGUGAGAAACCUGCCCCGAAGUCUGGGAUAACCCGAGGAAACUCGAGCUAAUACCGGAUGUCUUCUUCUGAUCGCAUGGUCGGAUGAAGAAAGAUUUAUCGCUUCGGGAGGGUCUCGCGGCCUAUCAGCUAGUUGCGGGGUAACGGCCCACCAAGGCGUCGACGGGUAGCUGGUCUGAGAGGACGAUCAGCCACACUGGGACUGAGACACGGCCCAGACUCCUACGGGAGGCAGCAGUGGGGAAUAUUGCGCAAUGGGCGAAAGCCUGACGCAGCAACGCCGCGUGCGGGAUGAAGGCCUUCGGGUUGUAAACCGCUUUCAGUGGGGACGAAUUCAGACGGUACCCACAGAAGAAGCCCCGGCCAACUACGUG
rnacentral:rRNA from 1 species